rfam:Gossypium hirsutum cultivar TM-1 unplaced genomic scaffold scaffold3483.1, whole genome shotgun sequence
CUCAAGGAAGCGAUUUGCCUAUGUGGACAGAAAGUGCGCCCUCAAGGAAGAGUUUUCUAUCCACGUAGGCAAAGCGUUUCCUUGAGG